rnacentral:rRNA from 2 species
AAAUUGAAGAGUUUGAUCAUGGCUCAGAUUGAACGCUGGCGGCAGGCCUAACACAUGCAAGUCGAACGGUAACAGGAAACAGCUUGCUGUUUCGCUGACGAGUGGCGGACGGGUGAGUAAUGUCUGGGAAACUGCCUGAUGGAGGGGGAUAACUACUGGAAACGGUAGCUAAUACCGCAUAACGUCGCAAGACCAAAGAGGGGGACCUUCGGGCCUCUUGCCAUCGGAUGUGCCCAGAUGGGAUUAGCUAGUAGGUGGGG